rnacentral:lncRNA from 1 species
UCCUCCCGGGAGCCCCGGGGGCGCUCCGGCCGCUCCGGGAAGUGGCUUCCUCCCGGCCAUCCUGCUCAGCCCGGCCCGGGCCGACCCCUGGCCUCUCUGGGGGAACUCUCCCCGUCCCCUUCCCGGUGAGCGCCCGAGAAACCUUUUCCCGGUCCCCCUCCUGCGGCUGGGGCUGCGCCUUGGCGGACGCGAGCCCGCGGGCGGACGCCCCGGGGCCGAGCUGGGCCGGGAGGCUGGGUCCGAGGGGGCGCCGGGACGGGAUCUGGCGGCCCGGCGGCCCGGCUGUGCUCCCCGGCGGGCCCGCGCUCCGGCUCCGUCCCGCUGAGGCGGUCGCCGGUCGCCGGGUGCCACCUGGCGGCCGCUUUUAUAUCGUCUCUUUCCUCCGGAGCUCCGGCGACGCGGGCCAAGGGACGGGACUCGGCCGCGGUGACCGAGGCAGAGUCCCGGGAGGCCGGCGUCGCUGGCGGGAUCUGGCCCGGUGGCGCCGGGGCGUGAGCGCGACGCCCGCUCGCCGGAGAUUGGAGUUUUUUGUCCAAGUCCCGCCCUGGAGAAGAGCGUGGACCGGCCCCGGGAGCCCUCGAGGGCGGGCCGGGGAGGGCGUCCCCGGCCGGGACGCGUGCCCGGAGGUGGGUCCGGGCCGUCGGACCGGACUUCUCUCUCCGAGUUUCGCGGGUCGCGUCUUUGUCCGGAGGUGGGAGGGGGCCGGCUCGAGGCGUAGGUGGAGCCCCGGCUGAGGGACGGGCGCCACGGUCCCGCCCCGGGCCCGGUCGCUGGAGGCUCCUCCGUGGAAUUCUUUUCUAAGUCCUGACCCGGCGACUCAGAGGGAGGGACCGACCGGUCCCGGCCCGCGCGGGCGGCCCGGGGAGGCUGUCCCCGGCUCCCCCUGCCGCCACGCUUCUGGGGUCGACCAGAUGGCCCCGGGAGCUCCCGGCCUGGUGGCGAUGGGGUCGUGCUUGGGGUCUGGUGGCCGUGGCCGUGAUCCAGGGGUUCCUCUCGUGAUCCGUGAGUGGGCCCCGUCUCCCGGCGCGGCGAUUCUUGCCCCUGAAUGAGUGGUUUUGUGCCCGCCAGAUAAAGUGCUGACACGCUCUGCUCGAGUGACAGUCGCCCGAGAGCUUCCGGGUGCCUGGAUGCGUGUGCGAGGAGGUCUCCGGGCUCAAGACCGAGAAUCGGACGCCCGUUUCCACCCCCGCCACUUGAGCCGCCCGCUGGAGCCUGCGCGCCGGCUCUUGUGCGUUCCAGGCGUCCCCGCGACCGUGGUGCCACCUCCGGUCUCUGGUACCCGAGGGCAGCGGAGAUAAGAGCGCGAGGUCCUCUACCACGUGCACUCCCUGCCGCCGGCACCCGGGUGCGAUCGCGACUUACCCCGUCCCGCCGGCUCCGUGCCAGUGAGAGUCAGGCGUUCUCGUCCUGGGGUCGUCGCCCGCGCUUGCUAGAGGAGGAGGGGGGCCGGUGAGGCUGAAGCAGGCUCCUCCGCUGGCUGUCCUCGCCGGCCUUCCCUUGCUCGGGGAUCCCUCGCGUUAUGCUGCUGAUCGAUGUGGUGAUGCUGUGCUCUCCCGGGCCGGGCCUAAGCCGUGCCAGACGAGGGACGGACGUUCAUGGCGAACGGGACCGCUCUUCUCGCUCUGCCCGCGGGCCCCCUCGCCCGUUCUCCCCCGCUGCGAGUGGCGUGUGGGAGGUGGCAGGGGUGCGGAAUCCGGCCCGACCUCGCUCCCCCGCCCCGUGCCUUGUGGCGUG